GAAAUAACAUUUAGACUUUAGAGCUAUAGUGAGGUUUGUGGUAUGAUCAUGAUAAUUAAGGGUAUAGUGUGUGACAAAGAAGAUAAAAUAAUUUAGAAAAUGUUUCAAACAUUUUAUCAAACCCAAAUCCAUUUAUAGAUCUUCAUGUCUCUCUCCCUUCCAACCCUAUUUAAAUAAGCUUCUCUCUCCCACUCUCCUCUUCCUCUAUACUCCACACCUCUUUCUUUAUUCCUCUUUACCUUCUUCCUUUCAAAAUCUUUAUAUACAAAAUUAGAUUAUUUCUCAAAGGGGGAAUGGAAAACAAGGGGUUUAUAUAUAUAUAUAUAGAUCAAGAAUUUCUUUACGAGUUUUGAUACAAUUAACAGGAGCUCUCUUCAGUUCAUCUCAAGACAGUUUCAGGUUUGAUAUAUUAUUGUUGUCACAAUCUCGUCAUUGUAUUCAUCCUUCCGACUUCUUUUUCCCUUGAUCUCAUCUAGCUAAUUAGGAUCUUCUUUGUCAUUUUUAUUAUAUAUACACCAAGUCUUUAGUUUUAUUUAUAUAUAUAUAAUUGUUCGUAGUCAAUUAUGUACAAUUUCGUUUCCUAGUGCUAACCCAAUUUGCAUAUUCAAUGUAUUCCCUUGAUUUCAUUAGUGAAAAUUCUUCAAAACGCAGCAAACUCCCCCACUAAUGUUAUUGGUUGGCGGACUAUAAUUGAAUUGAGAUGAUCAUCUUGUCUACUUACCAUAACUCGAACAAUAAUUAAUAUUCAAUUUUAGUGAUGUAUGGUAGAUAAAUUGACAAAUUUGAAAAUAACAUCAUACACUAUUUGAGUUGAGUUGGAAACCCUAUUCAAGUUGCAGCCAACCCCACCAACCUAACAUUGUACACUGUAUAUUUCUAAUCAUUAGCAUAUAAAACAUAAAUAAAGUCCUACAUUAGCUGCAAUGGAAGUUAGAUCUAUACAUGGUAUGUAAUAUACUAGAAGACAAUUUACCUUUAUUGAUUACGAUAUCCUUCUGUAGAUUCAAAUUUCAAAAGUGAAGUCUAUCAUAUCUUUAUUGUUAAAAAAAAAUGAACAAUAUCAUAUUGUUGUGUUGUGUUGUGAAA